rnacentral:misc_RNA from 1 species
UAGAGUAACUUGGGGAGAUGUGCUGGCAUUGCAGGUGCACUCUCUUCAACUAUUCAUCCCAAACCCCUGUGCACCUUUAAAGGAUAUGAGAGUCGAAAGACAAUCAUGUCCAAUACUAUAUAACCCUAUGAGAUACAUUAUAUUGAUGAAUGUUAUAAAAUAAACUUAAUA